CCUACGGGUGGCAGCAGUGAGGAAUAUUGGUCAAUGGGAGAGAUCCUGAACCAGCCAAGCCGCGUGAGGGAAGACGGCCCUAUGGGUUGUAAACCUCUUUUGUCGGAGAACAAAACCCGGGACGUGUCCCGGACUGCGUGUAUCCGAAGAAAAAGCAUCGGCUAACUCCGUGCCAGCAGCCGCGGUAAUACGGAGGAUGCGAGCGUUAUCCGGAUUUAUUGGGUUUAAAGGGUGCGUAGGCGGUCCGUUAAGUCAGCGGUAAAAUUGCGGGGCUCAACCCCGUCGAGCCGUUGAAACUGUCGGGCUAGAGUUUAGUUGCGGUAGGCGGAAUGUAUGGUGUAGCGGUGAAAUGCAUAGAGAUCAUACAGAACACCGAUUGCGAAGGCAGCUUACCAAACUACGACUGACGUUGAGGCACGAAAGCGUGGGGAGCAAACAGGAUUAGAUACCCGAGUAGUC
rnacentral:rRNA from 1 species